rnacentral:rRNA from 1 species
UAUCAGUCAUGCAUAGCAUAUCAAUAAGCGGAGGAAAAGAAACUAACAAGGAUUCCCUUAGUAACGGCGAGUGAAGCGGGAAGAGCUCAAAUUUGAAAUCUUCAAGGUUUUACCUUGACGAAUUGUAGUUUAAAGAAGUGUUUUCUGUUGAAGUUUUGGUAAAAGUUCUUUGGAAUAGGACAUCAUAGAGGGUGAGAAUCCCGUAUUUGACCAUUACUUUCAGCUUUGUGAUACACUUUCAAAGAGUCGGAUUGUUUGGGAAUGCAGUCCAAAAUGGGUGGUAAAUUUCAUCUAAAGCUAAAUAUUGGCGAGAGACCGAUAGCGAACAAGUACCGUGAGGGAAAGAUGAAAAGAACUUUGAAAAGAGAGUUAAACAGUACGUGAAAAUUGUCAAAAGGGAAGCGUUUGACACCAGUGUUGUUUUCUCGAAAAUCAAUUAAAAAGAGUUGGACUUUGUGUUGUAUUGACUUUAUCAGCUUUCUUCACUCUUUUCCAGCUUUCUUUAAUGCACUUUUCGUUUAACAAGUCAACAUCAGUUUCUUUUGUUGUAAAAAGGUCAUUGGAAGGUGGCUUUCUCUUCGGAGAAAGUGUUUAUAGCCUUUGACUCAUGCAAUCGGAGAGACUGAGGUCUGCAGCGUAGAUCCUUCGGGGUUAGAUACAUUUGUGCUAAGUUAUAGCUUUUCAUAGACAACUUGUUGACUAUGUUUAGUCUUGUAGCUUACUCGCUUAUGCUAUUUUACCUACGCUUAGGAUGUUGAACUCUAUCACACACAG